rnacentral:siRNA from 1 species
GAUGGAUGUACCUCUCACAUACAC